rnacentral:misc_RNA from 1 species
AAGUCGUAACAAGGUCUCCGUUGGUGAACCAGCGGAGGGAUCAUUACCGAGUUCACGCACUCAAAUAACCCUUCUGUGGACCUGAACUAAAACCGUUGCCUCGGCGGGCGGUCCCCUGCCAAAACCCACGUGGUGUGGGCAGGGGACCAGACAGUCCGGCACGCUUAAGGCGUCCGGCGCCAGCCGCUGGCCCUAAACAAUUAAACUCUAGUAACCUUACCUUCUGAGUUUUAAUGCAAAAAAAUAAGUCAAAACUUUCAACAACGGAUCUCUUGGCUCUG